AACGCUUUACCCUUUUCCCCACUUUUACCUUUGCCUUCAAAGUACUAUGCUACAAAAUCAGUACAAUGAAAUUCCCAAAAAGAAUCCAUAAAAUAUAAGCAUUUUAAAGGUGGGUUUUUGUUUAUAUAUAUAUAUAUAUAUAUACCUGUGUGGCCAUCUCUUAUCUCUUCUUAGUGGUUACUCUUACCCAUUUCAAAGAACCAAGCUUCCCCCUCCCCAAUUCCUUUUUAUUUCAAGGUAAUCUAAUAAACUAUUUUCUUUUCUGUUUUCGAUUUUGUUUUCUAAAUUUUUGUUUUAAUUCUUGAUUUUUUCUGUUCUUCAUUUCUGAAAUUUUGUUGGAACCAAAUUUCCGUUGUUUGAUAUGUUUAUUUUGCUACUCUAGGUUUUUUUCCCUUAAUUUUUUUUCAUAUUUUCUUUGUUAAUUCCGUUGAUUUUAGUUAAGUUAGAGCUGAAUUUGUUGUUGUUUUUAAUCUAAUUGUACUUGAUUCCUUUUUCGCCUUUGGUAUUGAAAUUCCCCCCUUUCUAGGGAUUUGAUGUUCUUGUUGGAUUAAUUUAAUUUAAUUUUCUUAAACAUAAAUAUAAUUAUUGAUAUAACAUCAUAUAUUUAUAUAUUACUUUCAUAUAUAAUUAUAUUUAUGUAAUUUUAAAAUAAAAUGAUAGAGUUAUUUUUUAAAUACGCACAAUUAAAAUAAAAUUAAGAUUUCAUAUAUAUACAUUUACACGACACCACAAGCAUAAUGAUGUUUAAUUUUAAAAUUUAUCCUGUCAUAAAAUUAUAAAUUUUAUUUAUAUUCUUUAAUUAAUUACUCAAAUUCCUUGAAAUUAAUAAUUAUAAUAUUAAAAAAGUAAUUUAAUAAAUUUAAAUACACUAAAAAUAUAAAAUUAAUUUAACCUUUCCAAACCAAAUGGCAUUGAAAGAUAAAAAGAAAAAGAAAUCUUGUAAGCAAAAGCCAAAUAGAGCUUUCCUUCAUUCAUUCAUCAGUUAUAUAACAUGGCAGUAACACAACAAAGCUAGUUAAAAUACUUUCAUUUCACUAUAUAUAUAUACAUACACACACAUACACAAACCAAGCAACCAUGGAUACAAUUAACCCUGGCUGCUUUAUUCUAAUAAUAAAAACCCAAAUACAUCAUAUAUUAUUUAGAUCAACUUCCAUAAUAUGCUUAGUUUUUUUUUCUCUCCUUUACAAUUGCUAGGGUUGCAAGUGCAGUUAUCUCCAUAAGUGCAAUUAACAAAGUAAUAUCAUGACAUUUUUUUAAUAAUUAUCUCAUUUCACUAUUCUUGUUUUAGGAGUUAUAUGACUUUUUUUUAACUAUUCUUGUUAUAAGGGAUCCCUACAAAAGAAGUAUUCGAUAGACUCAUUUGAAUUGCCUAAUCAAACAAUUCCAUUUUAUAGCUCUCCUUAAUUGCAUUUGUAAGUACCUCUUGUUACUUACAUGUUUUAAUUUAAUUGAAUUAAAAUUUGAAAUUGCUUGUUUAUUUGAUUUGGUUGUGGUAAAUUUAUUACUUAUAUGUUUUAUUUAGAAAUAGAGAAUUAGAAAACAACCGAAUUAGAUACUUGAUAUAUAUAAUCUAUUUUAGUACAAUGACAUGAUUUAAACCUAUUUAGAACACUUAAGUAACCGUAAUUUAUUAUCAACUUUAAACUUCAACAAUUAUGAAAUGGAUAAGAGUUGGAUGGAUUUGUCAAAGGUAAGUAACGACUAUCAAAAUGGAGUACAAACUUUUCUAAAUUUUUCAUUUCAAAAUGCAAGCCAAGAGAAUAUGAUUCUUUGCCCGUAUAAGAAGUGUGGCAACAUCAAUUGGCAUAUUUGUGAAGUUGUCUACGAACAUCUAAUUGUUGAUGGCUUUAUUCAGGGGUAUAAAAAUGGUUUUUCCAUGGAGAGUGUACACCUCGUAGAACCUUUUCAACGAUUAAUUCAACUAUCAUCAUAAUGCUCACCAUUAGUCUGUUAGAGAAGAUGACAUGGAGGGUAUGUUGCGAGAUGAAUUUAAUAUGCAUAGUCAUGGUUUGCAAACAUUUCCACCUAAAAUUAUUGCAUCUGAUGAUUGUGAUAUUGGUGAAAAUACUUUUACCGAAACGGGAAGAAGUGCUGAUCAAGUGCCAAAUGGAAAAGCGACGAAAAUCUACAAGUUACUUAAUGAAAUGAAUGAAGAAUUUUAUGAUAGAUCGAAAUUUCCAAAAUGUUUGGGAGGGUGGACCAGAAACUCUUUUACACUGCUGUUAUAGUUUUUGAGAGAAAUGUUUCCAUUUGCAAAAAUCCUUCAUUCAUGCAAAGAUAUGAAGAAAGUGAUAAAGGAUUUAGGCAUUGGGUACGAUAAAAUUCAUAGUUGCCCAAAUAACUGCAUGUUGUAUUGGGGUGAUCGGAAAAACCAACAGUCCUGUCAUGUUUGUAGUCAAUCCCAUUAGAUGAUUAGGAAUGUAGAAGAUGUGAAUGAGGAUGAAGGUGAGGCACAGUCAAGAAAGAAGCUAGUAAAGAUUUUGCGAUAUUUUCCACUAAUACCAAGGCUUCAAAGGCUUUUCAUGUCGUCAAAGACAGCUGAGUCUAUGAGGUGGCAUGAUGAUGAACGAACUGAUGAUGGAUUAAAUAAAGGCAUCCUGCGGAUUCUGUAGCUUGGAAAUCAUUUGACAGUAAAUUCACAAGCUUCGCAAGCGAUCCUCGGAAUAUGAGGCUUGGGCUAGCAUCUAAUGGAUUUAAUCCUUUUAAAAUCAUGAGUACUUCAUACAGUACUUGGCCUGUAGUGCUUGUUCCUUACAAUUUGCCUCCGAGGAUUUGCAUGAAACAAUAUUCUUUUAUCUUAUUUAUGAUUACCCCUAGAGAGAAAGGUCUCAGGGAAUGAUAUUGGCAUUUAUAUGUAGCCACUUAUUGAAGAGUUGAAAUAGUUAUGGGCGGGUGUUGAAACAUAUGAUGUCUUGAGAAAGGAGAACUUUUAUUUGCGUGUAGCUUUGUUGUGGACUAUUAAUGAUUUCCUGGCUUUUGCCAAUUUAUCUGGUGGGAGUACCAAAGGACGUUAUGCUUGUACUUAUUGUGCUGCACAAACAUGUUUGAAGUGGUUGUAUAAUGGGAUGAAGUUCUCUUAUAUGGGGCAUCGUCGGUGGGUGGAUGGAAAUCAUAGAUUUUGAUUUUAGAGCACUCUAUUUGAUGGUACUGAAGAGUUCAGAGAAGCUCAUGAGCAGACCAAUGGAUCUAAAAUCUUGUUCAUGUUAAAAGAUAUCAAUUUCAGUUAUGGAAAGAUGAAUCAACUACCCAACACACAAACAAAGAAAAGACUGAGGGAGGCGUAUGUUGGCGACGUUGACCGACAGAGUAAUGAUGAAUCUGAUAAAGAGGAUGAUCCUAAUGAGAUGGACUUGUGGAAAAAAAAGAAGUACUUUUUUUUAUUUUUUUAUUAGGAGCAUCACAUUUUCUGACACAAUCUUAAUGUCAUGCAUAUUGAAAAGAAUGUUUGCGAGAACAUGGAAACACGAAAAUAUACACAAUUUUUCAUGUUCUUUUUAACUCAAACUCAUGCAGUUUUGGUAAAUUUCUUGUUGAAAAAUCUAUAAUUAUUAUAAAAUAAUUAAAUUGCACUCAAAUUAUGAACAUGUUGAAUUUUAAUUACUUUCAUAUCAAAUUUUGAUUAAUUUUGAUUAUUUUCGACAGAUUUGCACAAAGGGCAAAAAGAGGCUCGACAAGCAUUGUUAGAAGCACAAAAUCGAAAAGUAAUUUUGAAGCAUCAAGGUGAAUUUAUUUUUUAGCCUAAGACAGUCCAAAUUAUGUGUAUUAAUUCAUAAUAUAAUUAAUUUUAAUUUUAAUCCAAUUUAAUUUGGGUUAAAUAAAUUAUUAUUAAUUAAUUAUAAAAAGUGGCCCAGUUUAGCUGAAUCAAAAAAACCGAUCCAACCAAGCACUGGGCAGCUCAAAACCAUCCCACAUGCUGACCCAAUCAGCUUGUUUGGCUGAUUGUUUGGCUUGCAAAAUGGCCCUUGAAGACUCCUUCAAUUUGCAUUCAAACCCCUCCACUAUUCAUGCCUUUUAAGAUUUGGCCCUACCUAAAAAUAGCAUGUUUGAAAUCUUCAAACAUGCCACAUGUGUGGCUGGCCAUGGGGGAGUCUUCGGCUGCUAAUUUUGGCUAUUUUUAGCAGCCUUAUUGACCUAUAAAUACCCCUUUGGCUACUCACUUCAAACACAUCUCAAAACCAUUCAUUAUUCACUUUUCUCUCUUCAUUAUUCUUCAUUUUCUUCCCCAUUGCCUUACCGAUCUCACCUCUUGAAAAAGAGUCAUUCAACCACCAUUUGGAGCAGCAUUCAAGUGUUCGUGGAAGCCUCGGUUCAACAAGAACAAGAGGAGAAGAAGGAGCAGAGCAAACUAGUCAAGCCUCAGAGAAACACUGGAUUUGAUUUUUGUUCCUUAUCCUUUUAAUUUAAUUAUUGUUGUUAUGAACAUAUCUAUGAAUAUUUAUGAUGUUGAUAUAUUUAAUUUAAUUAAUAUGGCUUAAAU
rnacentral:lncRNA from 1 species